rnacentral:rRNA from 1 species
UACAGAGGUCUCAAGCGUUGUUCGGAUUCAUUGGGCGUAAAGGGUGUGUAGGUGGCGCCGUAAGUCGGGUGUGAAAUCUCGGAGCUUAACUCCGAAACUGCAUUCGAUACUGCCGUGCUUGAGGACUGGAGAGGAGACUGGAAUUUACGGUGUAGCCGUGAAAUGCGUAGAUAUCGUAAGGAAGACCAGUGGCGAAGGCGGGUCUCUGGACAGUUCCUGACGCUGAGGCACGAAGGCCAGGGGAGCAAACGGG